rnacentral:rRNA from 1 species
GACGAACGCUGGCGGCGUGCUUAACACAUGCAAGUCGAACGGAAAGGCCCUGCUUUUGUGGGGUGCUCGAGUGGCGAACGGGUGAGUAACACGUGAGUAACCUGCCCUUGCCUUUGGGAUAACUUCAGGAAACUGGGGCUAAUACCGGAUAGGAGCCCCUGCUGCAUGGUGGGGGUUGGAAAGUUUCGGCGGUUGGGGAUGGACUCGCGUCUUAUCAGCUUGUUGGUGGGGUAGUGGCUUACCAAGGCUUGGACGGGUAGCCGGCCUGAGAGGGUUACCGGACACAUUGGGACUGAGAUACGGCCCAGACUCCUACGGGAGGCAGCAGUGGGGAAUAUUGCACAAUGGGCGGAAGCCAGAUGCAGCAACGCCGCGUGCGGGAAGACGGCCUUCGGGUUGGAAACCGCUUUCGCCUGUGACGAAGCGUGAGUGACGGUAAUGGGUAAAGAAGCACCGGCUAACUACGUG